UUUUCAAAAUUUUUUUUUCGAAAAAUAAAAAAAAUAAAAUAAAAAUAGUUUCUAUUUUUACUUUCUUUAUCUCCUUCUCCUCUCUUACUAAUUUUUGAUUUUUCUUGGUAUCAUUUGAUCAGGAACCAAAGAGAAAGUUUGGGACAAUUAGAAAGGGAACGAUUGAAAAAGGAAUACUGUAGAGGUCGAAUCUAAUAUAUGCAAGUCGAGUCAAACUUUUUCGGAUGAUCCCUGAACCCGAAUGACAUGCACCUCGGUCCAGCCCCACUUCCCUGUUUCUUUCGCAUCCAAUCGAGUUCAAACUUUCAUUACGUUGUACUAUCUGAUCAUUAUCACAUCUACGAUUAGCUAUUCAAAGUCUUCCUAAAAUUCCAUGUACAAGCCAUCCACAUCAAAUCUUACACAUCAUCUCCCUAUUCUUCCACCACGUCUUAAUGUCUUCUAAGCAUUCCCAAUCUCCCCUGUUCCAUGUCCAAAGAACAGAGUCAUCCCAAGACUUCUCAGCCGACCUCAUGUCUCACGAUAUCAUCUCCAACUAAAAUCUUUUUUUUUCUCCACGUCACCUUCUCCCAGGUUUCUUCCACAUCGUUCCAUCCUUAUCCUAUCCCCAACCAACUCCAAGCUUCAUCCUGUUGUGAUCUUCUCUUCUCCCGUUCGGAUCAAGCAACCAAUAUUCCCCUGUUUCCCAUUUGUAAUAACACUCAUCCCGACUAUCUGUUCUCUGUUGAUCCUCCCAACUUCUCUUCCCUGAUUUCUUCACCCGUUCAAAUCAAGCCGAGUCCCAAGCAUCGAUCAACUUCUUCCACAUCCAAAGAACAACCAUCCGAGAUCUUCUCAAAAGCCUACAGCCACAUCCCAAAGCCUCAUCUCUUCUCAGCUGUGGGCUUCAUCCAAACAACCCCAGCCACGGAAACAGAACCAGGAUCUCAUCCGCAUCCUUCCGAAUAUCC